rnacentral:rRNA from 1 species
UACAGAGGUCCCAAGCGUUGUUCGGAUUCAUUGGGCGUAAAGGGUGUGUAGGUGGCGCCGUAAGUCGGGUGUGAAAUUUCGGAGCUUAACUCCGAAACUGCAUUCGAUACUGCGGUGCUUGAGGACUGGAGAGGAGACUGGAAUUCAUGGUGUAGCAGUGGAAUGCGUAGAGAUCAUGAGGAAGACCAGUGGCGAAGGCGGUUCUCUGGACAGUUCCUGACACUGAGACACGAAGGCCAGGGGAGCAAACGGG